ensembl:snoRNA small nucleolar RNA SNORA16B/SNORA16A family
CUGUGGCCCUUAUCGAAGCUGCAGCAGCUUCUACGUAGCUGCUGUGGUCAAAAAGUGGCCCAGAGAAAUAAUUUUCCUUGACGGUCGCAGUUCUGUUGACUGUAACUGAUCUGCAACAUUGUGGAAAAUGACAGCU